CAUUAUGACACAGAUAAUCAAGAGUCAUCAUAUUUUCUCUCAUAAGUGAAAGUUAAGAGAGAAGAAAGAAAAAAGAAAGGUGGGAGAGGAUCUCUUGAAAACUGGAAGCGAGAAGACUAAAGUAGAGGAAGAGGGAAGCCAUUUCUCAAGAAAAACCCAAUAUCUGUGGCAAUGUGUGGAAGGGGAUUUUCAUUUCACCACCUGAGUUCUGUAGGUUCAAAGACCUGGUGCUGGCUUCAGGUCAGCUCUGAUGAGGACCUCAUGGCAGAGAGUAUCACAAUGGAGGGAGUAGGUGUGAGAGGCCAUUGUUUUAAUUUGUAACCAAAGAUUCACUUUACCUGUUAUGGAAUUUCAUAAGAAUGGAAUAAUAAAAUACUCAUCUCUUUCUCAAAACUUCUAUGACUUAUGCUCUUACGAUGGAUCUGUUAGGUAAGAGAGGGCAUGGGAAGGGCUAGGGCCCCUCAUCCUCACCCAGCAUCUUCCUGUGAGGGGAAACUUGGGCCUCUUGUGGUUAAAGGGAGUAAGAUAGAUGACAACAAGGGGAGUUUAAGACCCUAAAGGAAAAGUCCCAGAUCUUGGGCAUGUGCAGAGCCAGAGGGACUGACUCAAAGUAAACUUGUCGCUACUUAAGGUUAUCAGCAUUGCAGUUUGCUCUCCCUCUGUGCAUUUUCUAGGGGAAAAGGAAAUGCCUGGGCAGUAGAGAAGAAAUUAUGUCAAAUUCAGCUGUCAAUAAAGGUGCCAAUCAAACCUAGAUCUUCACAGGAGAAAGGGGCGAACUAGCAGAGCCCAACAAAAGUCAGUUUCACUGUGUAGACAGGGCCUUGAUCUUCUUCUCAGCUAGGCACAUUCUGUUCUCCAAGAGUGUUUUCUUUUGCUUUCAACAAACCUCUGGCUUUUCAGCCAAACUCUUGCUCAGUUCUUUGCUCAGCAUGCCAAGAACCUGGACCUAGAACUCCCUGGGGACCCUUGCCCUUAGGCCAGUUACAUAUCCACGUUAAUAUACACAUUAAUUAGUAUUUUAUUCCUUAUAA